rnacentral:rRNA from 1 species
AAUAUUGCACAAUGGGCGCAAGCCUGAUGCAGCCAUGCCGCGUGUAUGAAGAAGGCCUUCGGGUUGUAAAGUACUUUCAGCGGGGAGGAAAGCGAUGUGGUUAAUAACCGCGUCGAUUGACGUUACCCGCAGAAGAAGCACCGGCUAACUCCGUGCCAGCAGCCGCGGUA